CUCUCCUCCUGGGGGCACCGGCCCGUCGGAGCUGACCCCCACUGCCCUCCCCACGGGGUGGGUAGGGGCAGCCAGUCUGCAAGGGCCUCCUCGGGCCAUCCGUGGGCCUGGUUUCUCCAAACUCAGCCACCACAGUCCCCACGGCCUCAGGGCCUUGGCGCCCCCCGUUCCCCCUACCCAGCUUCGAGCACCCACUCCCUCCGUCCCUCGCCCAGAUGGAGGGCACGACCUCCCUCCCCUGGGACUCGGACACAUCCCCUGUCUCAGCAUUGCACAGUACCCGCUCUAUCCUGGGUCAUGAAGUUUGUUUGCAGCCCCACAGGGCCCUGUAAGCCGAGCACCCCAUGUGGGCAGCACUCUGCCCCAGCGCCAGCGGCCCCACAGCACACCCCCCAGGAACAGCUCACCUGCCCUUGGGGCAGCGAAGACGCCUCUUCCCAAUGCGCCUGCAUGUCCUCCAGCAGCCCCAGCAGGCGCCCGGUCAGCCCCGUCCGGAGGGCGAGGCUACCUCCUCGGAUCGGUGCUCGAACUGCAGGAGACGACUGAGCAGCAGCAUGUAGGACAGGAAGCCCGCCCGCCCGCGCUGGCUCAUGCCCGUGUCCCUCUGGAAUGCAGGAGCCACCCGUCACCAGCCCUGCCCAAGCCCGUGGGCAGGGGUGCACGGCCAAGACGCAGGGCGGGGGACCCCCACGGCUCCCCACCUGUGUGGUGAUCAGCUUGAGGACCAGCUGGCAGUCUCCUUGAACGCGGGAGGCGCUGGAGCGUGGUUCCAGCUUGAACCAGCGGUCUUCACCCGCCACGGGCACCUCCUGAAAGGAAAGGGUUCACACCGGCCGUCCCCCCUCCAGCUCCCUCCCACGGACUCUCUGUGGGACCGAGAGGAGAACACACAGCUCUGCUGGCCCCGGAGACGAGUGGUCAGCACCGAGUGAGCCCUCAGGGGUGCCCGGACACCCAGGAAGCUGUUCCUUCCCCCUCCCCUGCAGCUCAAGGCCCCACCAGCCCAAGAAGACCAGGAGAUGCUUGGGGGAGUCGCAGGGCAGACCCACCAGCAGUAUCCCCGGAGGAUGAGACCCCACAAACAGGCGGUCCGUGAGCGGAGCCCCGGCCCCUACUCACCCGGACGGGUGCACCCACACCCGCUGCCCUGCAGGGACCAGGGGCGUCUACCAGAUAUCCAGGUGCAGCUGGUCCGUGCUGACAUCCUCGAUCUCACUGUAAGGAAAACGGAGAGAAGCCCAGAGGGUGGAGGACCAUCCCCUGCCCAGGGCGAGGGCAGGGACAAUUUCAGGAGCUGCGGGCAGGGGUCCACGAGCUAGAGCUCUCAGGACAGGCCGCCCGGAUUUGGAUCCUGACUGUGUGGCCCCCGGGGCAUGGCACCUCUCUCUGAGGCGAUUUCCUCCUCUGGACAGUGGUCACGUGAACAGCCCCCACUCGGGUCCCCGGGGCAGGCACAGUGUGGCAGCCACCGGCCUGCGUCCUCAGGACAUGCUCUGGCCCAGCAGGCAGCACCCCCCCCCAC